rnacentral:rRNA from 1 species
CCCCUAGAUGUUCUGGGCCGCACGCGCGCUACACUGAACAGUUCAACAAGUCUUAACCUUGGCCGAUAGGUCUGGGUAAUCUUUGAACGCUGUUCGUGAUUGGGAUAGACCUUUGCAAUUAUGGGUCUUCAACGAGGAAUUCCUAGUAAACGCAAGUCAUCAGCUUGCAUUGAUUACGUCCCUGCCCUUUGUACACACCGCCCGUCGCACCUACCGAUUGAAUGGUCCGGUGAAAUCUCGGGACGGCGGCUUGGUCGCUUGCGUCCGACUGCUGAAACUUGAUUAAACCAUAUCGUUUAGAGGAAGGUGAAGUCGUAACA